rnacentral:rRNA from 1 species
GAUGAACGCUGGCGGCGUGCUUAACACAUGCAAGUCGAACGGAAAGGCCCAAGCUUGCUUGGGUACUCGAGUGGCGAACGGGUGAGUAACACGUGGGUGAUCUGCCCUUCACUUCGGGAUAAGCCUGGGAAACUGGGUCUAAUACCGGAUAGGACCACCUUUUGCAUGGUGUGGUGGAAAGUUUUUCGGUGUGGGAUGAGCUCGGGGCCUAUCAUCUUGUUGGUGGGGUAAUGGCCUACCAAGGCGUCGGCGGGUAGCCGGCCUGGGAGGGUGUACGGCCACAUUGGGAAUGAGGUAAGGGCCAGGAUCCUACGGGAGGCAACAGGGGGGAAAAAUGGAAAAAGGGCGCAAAGCUGAAGCAAGGAAGGCGGGUGGGGGAUGAAGGGCUUCGGGUUGUAAAAUCCUUUCGGUAGGGACGAAGCGUUAUGUGACGGUAACUGGAGAAGAAGCACCGGCUAACUACGUG